AGCUGUAGCGGAGACCCCCAAGUAGGGAAAUUGGGGCAAAACGCGGAGCGCUCCAGGCUCCUACGGGCUGUGCGGUGCCAGGGCUCGACUGCUGAGCGUCGUGGGCUCCGAGAGGGACGCGGGCGGAGGGCAAAGUGGGUUCAUGAUAUGAAUUGUAAAAUUGGCGACUGCGUAAUGUAAAACACUUAACAAUUGCUUAGAUUUCCUUUGGGAAAUAACUUGCUUUUAAAUUGUAAACAAAUUACAAACAAACUGCUAGUG
rnacentral:lncRNA from 10 species